ensembl:lncRNA
GAAGAGAAGAGAGGGAUGGAUGGAGGGAGGCACAGAGAAGAGAGGGAUGGAUGGAGGGAGGUGAAGAGAAGAGAGGGAUGGACAAAGGGAGGUGAAGAGAAGCUGGGGGAGAGGAGCGGUCGUCAGGUUUCUGUGUAAUGAGAGCCCAUGUCCCUGAGGGAAACAGCAGCACCCAAACAUGCUGAUAAGGGCCGUGACCCAAACAUGCUGAUAAGGGCCGUGACCCACACAAGCGAUGGAGAGCAAACGAAUCUGCGAUGGGGCUUAAGCGUGUCUGUCUAUUAUCACUGGAGUGUGUGAGCGUGUGUGUGUGUGGGGGGGGGGGGGUUGACACAAUGACCGGGACUGAGGCUGACAACUCGCCGCCAUGCAGCUGCUGGCUGAUAGCAUCUAAAGCCUGUUACCUGCCUCAUUUCCUCCAAGGCCAGAGGCCAAACAUCGGCGGUGGUAGUGGUGGUGGUGGCAGCUGUGAGGCCCCGCUGGGCUCCUCACUGUGGCCCUCACACUCACAGGCCCCCGCUGCCCCAGGGCCACAUCUGCUAGCGCUAAGGCCACAAACACUAAGGCCACAAACAGACAGUAUGGACAAACAAACAGCUCCAGCCAAACCAAACAGACUAAAAAAAAGACACUGCUGGCAAAAAGAGAGAGAAAAAAAACAGCGGCGCAAGAGACCACUGUCUGCUUUUUUUUCCUCUUUGCAGUGUCAUCAUUAUAAUCUGGUAUGGUUUGUGCAACUGCACUGCGUGAUCACCAUUAAAGAAACACAAUUAAGGAUAAAAAACACUAUCGAUAUCAACAGACAAAAUAUUUAUAGUCAAGAGCCCUGGGGGUUAAAUGAAGUGGAAAACAAACAAAACAAAAAAAAAAUUGUGUUUAAAAUUCAGAGCAUGUCGCUAAAAUACUUCAAGGGUCUCAUCCUACAGGCUGGCGAGUGGGAAACCCCCCCCCCCUUGGAAGAGAAUGCUAAAUUAGCAUUUAGGUCCACUCAGUGGGAGCAAAUUGUAGCACUCCCGAUGCCUCCAUGGGAUUUGCCAGCGUAUCGGAG